AACAUAGCUUCUCGAAAUUAUAAGAGGUGCCGUCUGCCCGGUGUAAUAUAAACGGCCGCAAAAGUGCUAAGGUAGCGUAAUAAUUUGUCUUUUAAUUGAAGACCAGUAUGAAAGGCAUAACGAGGUUCAACUGUCUCCUGUUGUACAAAAAAAAUUGAUUAAAAAUUGAAAAAUAUUUUAUAUUUAUGAAGGACGAGAAGACCCUAUAGAGUUUUAGUAGAAUGUUAAAUCUACUUUUGUUGGGGCAACAUUUGAACAAAAAAAAAUCAAAAAGUAUUUAACCUCAAAGAGUAACAAAACAAACUACCUUAGGGAUAACAGCGUAAUUUUACCAGAGAGAACAUAUUGAAGGUAAAGAUUGCGACCUCGAUGUUGGACUAAGGUAACCUUUAUGUGCAGAAGCAUAAACAAGUAAGCCUGUUCGGCUUUUAAUACCUUAC
rnacentral:rRNA from 1 species